GGCAGUUCUUGGGUGACGCACCCCGGAAUUGGGCUCCCUCCUCUCUGGUUCUGGGUGCAUCACCCAGGUUCUGGGUGUGUCACCCAAGAACUGCA
rfam:Myotis lucifugus cont2.10596, whole genome shotgun sequence.